AUUAAAAAAGGGCUGGGGAUGUGGCUCAGCAAUUAAGGACCCUGGCCCUGAGUUUAAUCCCUGGCAUCAAAAACAAAAUACAUAAAAAUAUAAUAAUAAUAAUAAUAAUAAUAAUAAUAAUAAUAGAAGGAAGAAAGGGGGAGAAAGAAGAAUGAAUUCAAUAUAUUUAAUUCAAUACGUCUAAAGAUGGAAAGUGUAACAUUGAAUGAAAACAAGUUGCCAGAGACCCAUGAAGGUGACAUUCUGCUACACCCGGACUUGGGUCUGGCCAUGUGGAACAGACGAGCAAAAUCACAACACCCUACAGGAGAUCACGUCACCCGCGCCUGCCUCCUCUCUCUGCGGUUCCUUGGAUGUGGCUUUCCUCAGGGCCCGCUCUCCUCAGGGUCCAGAAUGGAGCUCCGGCCAUCACACACUCGUUCCAAGCACCCAGAGUGCUGAAGAGAAGGUGGAAAGUGGGCCGUGACUAAGCCAGAACUUAGUCAAAUGCAAGGGGAGCUGGGAAAUGUAGUUUUAAUUCCAGGGAGGUUUUUCUAGCCAGAGAUAUUGUUAUGGUUUCUAUUGCUCUACUGGUAGGCGAGAAUGGGCGUCAGAGGACAC
rnacentral:lncRNA from 1 species